UCUUUUGUGGCAUUUCUGGAUCCUUACCAAGGCAGUAAUGGUAUAUGCCUUCUCUCAAAGUAUGUGGUAUUUUUGGUAUAAGGCAUAGUGAUAUUGCCUUCUCUCUCACCCUACUCUAAAAAGGUUUUGAUAUCUAGAGCUCAUAGGUGGAAGACAGCUAAUACAUACUUACAAAACAUUUAUUGCAUAGUCAAACCAUGGAUCCAGAAGAACAAGUCAAUAAAUCAAAUCAAGAUGUGCAUGUGUGGCAAGUGAAUGGUGUAUGGUAAUGAUGGUGAUAACAAUGGUGAAAAUCUAAUUCUACUUUUGCUCUGUUAAGGGGAUACAUACCUUUCUUGCACUUUGAAGCUUUUCGAUGAGAAUGAGAUGCUCUAUAUUUUCUUUUUCUUUUCUCUUAGGUGGGUAUCUUGUACCCCAAAUUCUACUGUCGGACACUUGUCCAUUUUUACCUCUCGUCUCACUUUUUCUUUUCUUCGAGGUUCCGGGCACUUGCCCCUUUUUAUUUCCUCGUAUCCUCUAUUUUUUUUAGAUCACUCAUCUCUUGAAAUAAUAUAGCAAGUGGUAGUAACCAAAAUAUCUCGAGCAUUUAUUCCAUAGGGGAAAACAGAAAUAGGAGAAUGUUUUUGGCUAUUCUCUCUGGAUAGGAGUAGAAUACUUUUGGGUGGCUCUAGAGAUGGAAGUGAGUGGAUAUAUGUGGAUGCGUACUUCCGGAGUAGAAGCAGCAUGUGUGAGUGAACGUGCAAGUGAAUCUUCAUUUUAACCGCAUGACAAGCUCCUAAGGGUCUAUACAGCUUGACCACACUCAAUGCUCAUAAGCAGUAAAAAGUAAAUGUGUGGCUCAAAGUCUAGCAAGCAUGCAUAUAUGGCUGUGGUAGAAAUUUAAACUCUCAUCAUAUAGGAACUCAUCAUGUGUUAUUUUAAAGAUUUUCAAAGAUAAAAUUCCCCAGAAUUCUAGCAUCUCUAGGAACAGAUAAACAGUAGCUCAACCUUCCCAUAUCAUAUCCGUUAACGACUUAGACUUUAGAUCAAGUAGUCUUCCCACAAGUUCAGGUUUAGAGCAGGUUUAAAUUAUAACAGUUAUGUCUAAACUUGAGAGAGAUUUCAAUUUUAAGAACUAGUCAUGGCAGAGCAACUAUUCAUCAUUUCCAUAUGAGAGCUUAUCAUAAGGGUUCAUAGCAAACUUUAUUUAUUUAUUUAUUUAGCAAACUAAACAAAGAUAUAAAAGCACAAAAUCUUUAUUUGGGUUUUUUAUGAUUAUGCAUCUUUUUAUUAUUUGAGUAAAGUAUAAACACGAGUAGAAACACUUAGCUGGAUAAAUGGGGGUGCUCUCCCCCAAGCUGGAUUUUGACGUAAUUUCUUCUGAUGUAGCUAGCAAGUGACGGAGGUGUAUUUGAAUGUCGUCAGCACCUUGACAGCGAUUACUAUGUCCUCUGCCAGCUAGUCUCCUUUGAUCCUUGAAUUCUGUGGAGCUCAAAUAGACAACAAAGCUUUGUGGAACUGGUUAAGUGUUAGCAUAAAAUCUCUUAGCCUUUAUCAUAUUGAGAUUCCUCCUAAUAAAUAUUACUUGGUAGGAUCAUAAUUUUUUUUAUAUUUUCAUUUUUAUAGGACAGGAAUAUAUUUAAUUUAUCUUUAUGCCACCACAGUGAAUGUACUUAUGGGUUUUAUGCCAUGAGUAUAUUCACAUGGGGCUUACUAUUUUUAACAUUUUUAUUUUCUUUUUAAGAUAGCAUGAACCUGAUUAACUAAGCAAACUAUUUUAAAUAAUUGAAAGGAAAAGGAUAACUACCAAAUUUACAUCUUGGUAAGGCGUUCGGUGUUUUUAAGUCCUCCGAACGGGACUCUCCGUUUUCUCACUCGUCCUAGUAUUCGCUGGAUUGCGUAGUCGGUGGUUCCGGCGGCGCCUCCUCUUCGUGUAUAACUAUCUUCUCUCUCCACACCAGACUUGAUGCUACGGUCUCCUUAGGACAGUUCUGUUCAAGCUGUAUGUCUUCAGACCUUACCACUUCUCCUUCGUAAUCUGCCCAUCCGUCCUUGAAGAUUUGCCUCCUCUGGUUACGGUUGCGUUGUCUUCUUCUUGUCCUGACCUACUUAGAGUUUUCAACUAUAUAGUUAGGGUCAGUAAACCAGCGGCGUACCUUCUCAGAGGGGAAGUGUAUGUGGACUUUUCUGGUUCCAAUGUAGAUGAUUGCUUUAACAGUGCUGAGGAACGGUCUCCCAAGGAUGAUGGGUGGAUCGUACUUGUCUUCUCCCAUGUCAAUAACCUCCUUGAACUGCAGUGACCAUCUUAGCUGACUUGGUCCACAUUAGCUUGUUCCUGUUCCUCCUGUUGAUCCUCUUCCUUGGUUCAUGUCGGAAUUGCUCUGAGACUUGUGUAGUCUUGUUCUUGAAGGAAAACGUCUCCUUCCUCCCCUUGAUGUAGAAACUGAUCUUGGCAGCACUAGCGUAGAUGGCAGCUCCCGAGGUGUUCAAAAAUGGCCUCCUUAGGAUGAUGGGUCCUCACUACUAGUCUCUAUCACCACGAAGUCUGCUGGUGCGUACAAGAUACUAACUUAGACGUAGAGGUUUUUCAAUAUUCCCUUUGGGAAACUUAGUGUCUGAUCUGCAACCCUGGGCAUAAUGUUGACGCUGGAGCCAAAGUUGUAGAGUGCUUCUACGAAGUCCACCAUGCCGAUGGAGAUCGGGAUGACGGGGCGUCCUAGAUCGCCUCUCUGAGUAGUUAGGCCUCUAUUGAUUUCAACCUUGAUUUUGUUGAGGACGGUUGUAGUAGUACUAGUAGUUGUUGUUGUUGAUGUAGUUUACGUCCUCAAGCACCUCAGGGCAGUGAUUGCCUGAGUGUCCAGUAUCUCCAGUGUGCUUGUGCUCGUAGAUCCAAGUCCUUCACUUGGUGGAAUCUGGGAGUUGUAAAAUCCUCCAUGUUUUGCUCGAAGUGUACCUGCUCAUAGAUAAAAGGCAGAGAUCAAGUGCAUGGGCCCUGUUGGUGAAAAACACCAACAGAACCAAAAGUGUAUUUGUUCUUCUCUAACCUUAAGCAUAGUGAGCAAGACAAAGUUGAUGGAUAAUAAGAUCAUGAGUGUAGCAUUUAAAACAUUUGUCAGAUCAGAUCGCUCGACCUAAUGGAAAGAUAAUCUAUCUAUAUUUAUGUUUUGUUUAUAUCUUCCAAAGAUUGAAUGUGCCACAUUUUAGCUUAUAUGAUUACAAGUGUGGGAUCACGAAGGUAGUACUAAGAACAAAGAUUAAAGGACUAAACAUGUUGAAUUAAUUGGGUUGGUUAAUUUGGAGCUACAAAUCAUACAUGUUUGUCUCUUUUAUUCAUGUGUAUGCCAGAACCAAGGAGAAGCUUAUAAAAGCGAUAGUCA
rnacentral:lncRNA from 1 species